rfam:Glycine soja cultivar W05 scaffold14473_1, whole genome shotgun sequence.
AUCUGAUGGUGAGGGCAACUGGCACAUAGUUUUUUAAAUCUCUCUCCCAGUACUCAUACAGGCUCUCUCCACUGAGUUGUCUAAUACCUGAAAUAUCCUUUCUGAUGGU